CUUGAGGAGAGAGAGAGAGAUCGACGGGAGGGGUUUCCGCCCGUGCGGCCGCACCUCCACCGUCGCAGAUCCUCCACUGCCUCUCACUGUCGCUGAUGUCCUCCACUGCCAUUGCUUGUUGUUUGAAGCUACUGCGAUGCCACUGCCGUCGCCGGAAAAAGCACUGCCGAUAAGGGUUUUAAGUUUGAUUUCUGUUCUUCCAUAAUUCUGGAAAGGUUUUUGACACUGCGUGGUUGUUACAGUCGCCGUCAUCAAGGUUUUACAUCGCCGCUGUCGCUUGAGAUUAUUGAUGGAGCCGCUGCCGGGUCAAUUUAGAGUUGCGGCUGCUUCGUUUUGUUAAUUCAGAGUUAGAAUCCGAUUUGCUUGUGCCGUUUGUAGCUGUUUCUGCUUUUGAGAGAGCAAGCAGAGCCAAGGUUUUGAUUGCCAGUGAUUUCGGGUUGAGACAAAAUAACUCUGUGAGGCGUUUGGGCUAUGAUUUUGCGUAUUGAGGUAGGGGCUUUUCUAAAAAGCUAUUUCUUAUCUGGAAUUGUUAUAAAUAGAUACUAGUGUGAGAAUUAUAUACUUUUAGUGAUUGUACCAGUCUUAUGUAUU